rnacentral:rRNA from 1 species
UACGUAGGGUGCGAGCGUUGUCCGGAAUUAUUGGGCGUAAAGAGCUCGUAGGCGGUGUGUCACGUCGUUCGUGAAAACCUGCAGCUUAACUGUGGGCGUGCGGUCGAUACGGGCAUCACUGGAGUUCGGCAGGGGAGACUGGAAUCCUGGUGUAGCGGUGAAAUGCGCAGAUAUCAGGAGGAACACCGGUGGCGAAGGCGGGUCUCUGGGCCGGAACUGACGCUGGAGGAGCGAAAGCCGUGGGGAGCGAACAGG